ensembl:processed_transcript
GUCAAACAUGAAAUAGUAUCUCAUAUAUGUGCAACUGAUGUUUAUGUGUGUUUGUGUUUCUGUAUCCACAGAAGGAGGAACAUGUGAGGUGAUCGCAGCACACCGAUGUUGCAACAAGAACCGUAUUGAGGAACGUUCCCAGACGGUCAAGUGUUCAUGUUUACCAGGAAAAGUGGCUGGCACGACACGAAACAAACCCUCCUGUGUAGACGCCUCCAUUGUGAUUGGGAAGUGGUGGUGUGAGAUGGAGCCAUGUCUGGAGGGAGAAGAGUGCAAGACGCUACCAGACAACUCCGGCUGGAUGUGUUCCUCUGGGAAUAAGAUCAAGACCACGAGGAUUCAUCCCCGGACCUAA